CCCCCCGCCCGCUGUGAGUGAGCCCCCCGCUGCGUGGGCGGGCUGCUGCGCUGGCAGGAAGACGGGAGCCCCUGCCACCCGUCCCCACUCCCCUGGGCCUGCAGUUCCAACCAAAGUGGUUCUGGAGGCUGGAGGUCCGUUGUCAAGAUGUUGCCAGGAUUGGUGUCCUCUCUCCUUGGUUUACAGAUGGCCGUCUUCUCUCCAUGUCUUUGCAAAUCUUCAUUUAACAUCCAUCAUGCAUAAAAAGCUGUUAAGUGUGCUCUGAAUGGAAAUGGAUUCAAAGGCGCGUGUCACACAUGGCCUCCUCUAUCAACACGAUUUCAAAUCUUAAUUGAUAACGGAUCAGGUUCUACGGUUAGUAUGUGACAAAUGCCAAAAUAUAAGCUAGCCCUGAAAACAGUGACUAGAGUAUAGGAGAGAGUCACCAGAUGUUUUAAGGAAUUAUUAGAUGCAUAAGAUGAUUUUUUAGCAUUUCUCUUUGGUAUCUGAAGGGGAUAAAAGGGAAGCUGGGGCCAGAGUCCAGAAAAUUUCUUCCUGGAAUUCUCCCAGUAACAACUGAGGCUUUGGGAUGAAAGAUGGGACCACACCUUCAGGGACUCUGAAGUAAACAAUUAAAGUCAGUGGCUGUAGAGCACUUGUGACUCAUCCUCCUAAUUCCUUACUGGAGGACAGUUUUUGGCAAUUUCUUGUGAAAAUCAAUUACGGGGAAUUGAUAAAGAAGAUACACAGAAAGUUUCCAAAUUGUAUAAUAUUUCAAAAAGCCCUAUGUAGUUUGACCAUAGGUUAAUUUUUAUUAGAUGAAUACAUUUACUUGGUCACAGUUUACAGAUCUUUUUUCCCCUUACGACCAGAACUCUACAAUUUUUAUCGUAUGUCUCGAAAAGAAUUUUUCCCCCCUCUGAGGAAGCCCGAGUCAAAACAACAGUGUAUUUCCUUUUUUUCCCCUUCAAAUGUUAGGAACAAUGCUCUUUCUAGAUUGAUAGCCAACAUAUCACGCUUUAAUCCUGCUGGACCUUUAUCUGUGCCGAGUUAGAAACCUUUAAACACAGUUGUUAAUCGUGGCCUAGGCGGGCGGACUUUGAACUGCUAUCACGCACUCAUGGCUGUGAUUUCUACAGACUCGAAGCGAACACUUAGGUUUGCACAGUGUUAAGAUCCUGGGCGUUAGUCAUAAAGGAGUCAUAAAUUAUUCCUGUGCAAAGCUCUCUACUUCUCAUCCGUCUUUUAGACUUAAUACAAAGGCAUGUUAGAAGCGGGUCCUGUUACUGUCUGUGAAACAAUGCAAGGCUGCGGUAGGUCUAUUUGAGACAAGAUUUUACAGCUAUGU